rnacentral:rRNA from 1 species
AGAGUUUGAUCCUGGCUCAGAACGAACGCUGGCGGCGCGUCUUAAGCAUGCAAGUCGGACGGCAAGAGGAGUGCUUGCACUUCUCCUAGAGUGGCGGACUGGUGAGUAACACGUGGGUGACGUACCCUACAGCCGGGGACAGCUGCUGGAAACAGCAGAUAAUACCGGAUACGAUCCUGUAUGUUAGAGGUACAGGAAGAAAGGAGCUCAGGCUCCACUGGAGGAACGGCCCGCGGCCCAUUAGCUUGUUGGUAAGGUAACGGCUUACCAAGGCGAUGAUGGGUAUCCGGCCUAAGAGGGUGGACGGACACAUUGGGACUGAGAUACGGCCCAGACUCCUACGGGAGGCAGCAGCUAAGAAUAUUCCGCAAUGGACGAAAGUCUGACGGAGCGACGCCGCGUGAACGAAGAAGGCCGAAAGGUUGUAAAGUUCUUUUAAGCUGGAAGAAUAAGUGAAACAGGUAAUGGUUUCAUGGUGACGGUACAGUUUGAAUAAGCAACGGCUAAUUACGUGCCAGCAGCCGCGGUAACACGUAAGUUGCGAGCGUUGUUCGGAAUUAUUGGGCGUAAAGGGCAUGUAGGCGGUUAUGCAAGCUUGGUGUGAAAGGCCGGAGCUCAACUCCGGGACUGCACUGAGAACUAUAUAGCUAGAGUUACUGAGGGGAAACCAGAAUUCCAGGUGUAGGGGUGAAAUCUGUAGAUAUCUGGAAGAAUACCAAUGGCGAAGGCAGGUUUCCAGCAGAUGACUGACGCUGAGGUGCGAAGGUGCGGGGAGCAAACAGGAUUAGAUACCCUAGUAGUCC